GACGAACGCUGGCGGCGUGCUUAACACAUGCAAGUCGAACGGUAAGGCCCUUCGGGGUACACGAGUGGCGAACGGGUGAGUAACGCGUGAGUAACCUGCCCUUGACUCUGGGAUAACAGAUGGAAACGUCUGCUAAUACCGGAUACUCAGCCUUGUGGGCAUCCACAGGGUUGGAAAGCUCCGGCGGUCAAGGAUGGACUCGCGUCCUGUCAGCUAGUUGGUGGGGUAAUGGCCUACCAAGGCGACGACGGGGAGCCGGCCUGAGAGGGCGACCGGCCACAUUGGGACUGAGAUACGGCCCAGACUCCUACGGGAGGCAGCAGUGGGGAAUAUUGCACAAUGGGCGCAAGCCUGAUGCAGCAACGCCGCGUGCGGGAUGACGGCCUUCGGGUUGUAAACCGCUUUCAGCAGGGACGAAGCGCAAGUGACGGUACCUGCAGAAGAAGCACCGGCUAACUACGUGCCAGCCGCCGCGGUAAAAC
rnacentral:rRNA from 1 species